rnacentral:rRNA from 1 species
AGCAAUCCCCCUGAAGGGCCGUGGUAGACUACCACGUCGAUAGGCUGGCGGUGUAAGUGGAGUAAUCCAUUCAGCUUACCAGUACUAAUAGCCCGUGCGUCUUGACCCC